rnacentral:lncRNA from 1 species
GAGUUGUGGAGGAGGGCUUUCACAACGUGCUGCAAUAGUGUGUUGUAGUACAUAGAGUUUAACAACGUGUAUUUACGGCACGUUGUUGAAACGAAAUUGAGAGAUUUUUUUGACAAUGCACCUUGGCUUCUUGUUGUAUAUUUAGUUCAACAACACGCAUCGCAUGUUGUCAAAACUAUAUCACUUUUUUAUAAUAAUUAAAAAAAAGGGAAAAAAAUUGAUCCAAAAAAAAAAAGCCAAAUUUUUUGCAGGAAAAACUCCCUCUCAUUCAAACAAAAAAAAGAAACUCACUUUCUCUCAAAAUCUGAAAUGUUCUAAAUAUUUGACAAGCUCUCUACAUCUUCUAAAAACUCUCUCUCUCCAUCGUCACAACCCAAUCUCCAAAUUUUUCUCUACUCUUAAAAAUUCCAUCAAAGACUCACAAAAUCUAAACUCUAACCAUCCCUCAAGCCUCCAUGGCAGAAGCUUGAAGCUCUCUCUCUAUCUCUCAUCAGUAACUUUUAGGGCUGGGCAUCUGAGUACUGCCCUCGCUGCCUACUCGAUGUCUCACGCCACUGCACAGACGCAGACCAUUGGCUCGCUCUGAUUUGGAGUUGCUCAUCUUCGAUAUCUGCAAUUGGGUAAUUGAGUUCCCUUUUAGUCCUGUUAUUGAAAAUUAGGGAUUAAUUUUCAUUUGGGUUAUGUUUGGUUUGUAGCUUAUUUAUAUCUUCGAUUUGCUUUAUAUGAAUUCUUGUGUAUAACAUAAAUUGUAAAUUUUUACAAAGGCAUGAACAGAUAAAGGGUUUUGGAAUGGUACAAAUCUCCUGGGUUUAUUUGUUUGUUUAUUUUCUGUUCUUUGUAUUUUCUAUGUUUUUCUUGUCUUGCCAUUUUGUUAAAUCUUGUGUGUUAUUUCUCCUUCAAAGGAGAGAUUUAUAAAGUACUAUAAGAGUCUAACUGAAGAAGAGACAUGUAUGUGUACAUGUAUACUAUUUAUUUUUAGAAUCAGAGGAAGAUGAGAAAGUACUAUGAGUAUUGUGUUAUCUUUAUCACUUCUAAACACUCCAAACUGAGCUCAAUACAACUUGUCUGUCUAACUUUAGUUAAAGUUUUCUACUUGAAGAAUUAUACGUACUGGGUUUUCAAGUUUUCUACCUGGUAUAAUAUUUAUUGUUACUGUAAUUAUACAUGCUUUUCUCAUGAGGUCCCAUUUUGGUGAUGGAUAGACAAGCAUGAGGAGAUGGAGGACUCAUGAGCCAGAGUUACAUCCCGACUUUGUACAUGGAGAUUUAUGGGAGUCUUUCAAGGACUGGAGUGCAUACGGUGCAUGGGUCACAAAAUGGGAGUGACUCUGUUAUGUACUAUGUUCCUUAUUUGUCUGCUAUUCAGCUCUAUGUAGACCCAUCAAAGCCCUCCACAAGAAUAAGGUCAACAAUAUUGUAAACACAAGACUUUCAAUCAAUUCAGUCUGUGAUUUUUCUGCUUAAGCACUCUGGAUUAUAGUUUAUGUUUGCAGCUGCUAACUCUGGUGCAAUGUUCAUUCCUUAAUGUUUCUGUUCAUCCUUUAUUGUGUCUAGUUUAUGGGUUCACAUAGAUGUCAUUUUUUGGGGAAAAUCUGGUGGAAAUUUGAAUUUAGUGACUGAAGCAGAUGGAGCAUGCUGUGCAUUUUGGUGUGAUUAAUUUUUUCAUUAUCAUUGUUGGAUUCCUUGCACUUCUAUUGAGGUUGUUAUAUAUGAUCUGUUUGUUGAGUCACUCUCUGAGAUUUAGUUGCCUACUUACCCUGAUUACAUCUGUCUAUUACAAUGUCCUGAAUCUUGGUUGUAUUUGUAUGUUAAAAUGUUCUAUUAAUGUCUUCAUUUACUGGCCCUUCACUUGUAGCUUAAAAACUGUUUUACAAAAUCCACCAUUUCUUUGAAUGGAAUGGUCAAGGCGAUUGUGGAUACCACUUGGUUGGUUGGGUUACAAUUUGUUUUAAAUGUUGCUGAAUCUUGCAGUAUAUGGGGAAAUGGAGGUGAUAAUAGGUAGUGGGAAAGAUGUAUUUUGAAAUUAGAUUGUGAAGAAGAAUUAUGGUAGUGUAAUGGGGGUUGGUCUGUUUAUCAGGUGAGGCAUCUUAUAGGCAGUGGAUGACAAGAUCUUUAAUGUGAUGCAUGGUGCGGUACUUGUAUAUAGUGUUACUUUGUGGUAAAGUGAAUGUCUUACAGUUUUUGGCAUAAUCUCACCUUGACUUGGCAAAAUGUUGCCCAGAGUUGCAUGCUAAUAGCUAGUCUGUACUAGAAUAGAUGUGUGCAGUAAAAUCUCCGAAAAGAAUUAUAUAUAUAUUCAUAGCUUUUCAUGGAGAUACAUUAUAGGUUAUGCAAGUAUUUCUUUUGACAGUAGACUUCUUAGCAAUUGGAAUAAUUUGUUAUUAUUUAUUUUAUUAUUUUGGUUAUAUCUAUUUUUUUAAUUUGCUCAUAGCCUUCUGGAUUUUUUUACCAGAUAACGACACGGGAGCAAAAUCACAAUCAAGUGAGUUUCCAUAGGUGCACCAUUCUUGCUUGGAUGCUCGGUUCUUGGAUCUCUUCA